AUCCCACGGUGUAAGACGACGAGUGUUUCUCACUGUUCUAUUAAUAAGCAUGGAAAAACUGACGAACGGAAACAGUGCGAUUAGGCGCCAUUGGAAAAUAUCGAAAUUGCUGAAAGUAGAACUUUUCACCGACUGGCAACACUAGCCACCGAGCAGGCGCAGGUGGCUAAUAGUUCACGCAUGACGCUACUUACUCAAAUUUUUCCGAAGUGCGGCAUUGCGGAAAGGAAACCUGUUUUCGGCAGGCCAUCGUGAAAAUUUAUCCCCAUAGGUUGCUUUUCUGUUCCCGCAGCAUGCGGUGCAUUUCUCGCCAGUUUCGUUCCCUACGGCAAUCUCUGUUUACUUUAAUGUUGUUUGUGCUAUUUCUCGAAUUCAUGAUUGGCAAUUUUACAGCCGGAAUAUGAAGUAGGCGGUAUGUAAUAAAUGCGAUUUCGAGAUGAUAUUUUUGAAUAUUUGCACACGUUUUUUUCGGGCAGUACUUCUCGGAUGGUUUACCCCUCGACGGUGCUGACGUGGUUUAUUUCUCACUAACACUCAGUCCUGCGUAGUGCAUGUACAAUCAAAACAAAGCGGAAUGUGCAGCCGAUACAAUUCACUUUCAAGUAGAGCGAGUAAAUUUUUCCCGGUAUGGAUCAGAAUAUGCCUGUACCGUGCGUGUACUUGACCGCUUUGUGACAGUUGAAUGUUACAGUCAGUGAAAUGGCCUGUGGUGUUAGUCUGUUGAAGCGGUUAACAUUCGAUUAAUUUUGUUUUUUUUUGCGUCUAUACACUUGUCAGCUUACAUUGUAUUAUGUUGCUUAUAAUAACGGCUCCGAGGUUAAUUGUACAAAACAUAUGCUAUUUUAACAGUAAAAACAUAAUAGGAAGAGGUCAAGCUGUCUUUUUUUUUCAAGCUGUACGCGAUGGACGAAAAAAACAACGCCAUUGUGACCUCGCGUCAUCAGCGCGCCUAUCGAACAGGGACGAGACAUCAACGGGAUGUAACGCAGACUCACCGCAUCCCGUUGGUCACCGCCAACGUGAUUUAUUUCAGUCCCAAUCGAGGUGAGAUGCACAUGUUUUUUUCCUUUCGACUGAUGUCCGCCGACUACGAUGCGAUAUAACCUUCACGUACCUUGAUAUUGAAAGAAAAACAAAAAAGUGCGUCAAAAUGGUGCUGUGUUUAUCAACUUCGAACAGGUGGACAACCAUGCGCCUACUUUGUUUUCGAGUUUUCGAAGCUGUGCAUGAAUGAGUGCCAUGAUUGCCGAAGAGGAAUGACGUUUUUCCAUAACUGAAUCUGGAAGGAAAUUGCUUUGAAUCUUAAACUUGUAAUGCUAAGUAAGCCGAAUUAUUUUCAGAUGUUUUUCACUAACCAACAGAAAAAUUUCAAAUAGACUAAUAUUGUCUACUGUCCGUGACAUUGUAACUGGUAUUAAUAACAGCACACUCAUCUUUUGAAAGUCUAUGAAAUUUUCACUAUUAAUGUGGGUUGUUUCCUAAGUAAAUGUGGUCAUUUAAUACCAUUCCAAAAACAUAAUGUAAUCAACAUUCAAUUAGAUCUAAAAAUAUAUGUACUAAAUCUUUUAUUGUGCAGAAAAAAAUUGCUUUGUUUAAAAAUAUAAUUUUUAAGGCAUACUGCUUAAGCUCAAAGAUGUCAAGGGCAUUUUCUAACUUUAAAUGUCGACUAACUUAAAACUUUCAUUAGGUAGUGUUGUAUUGUGAUGAUACAUUCAUCGAUAUCAUUCACGUAAAAAUUGUAUAAAAGGAGGCUUAAACAUAAGCCCUGAGGAAUACCCAUGUAGCUGAAUCGUAUUGUCGACAAACAUAGUGCAUGCGUUUCUCGGACAAUAGAUUAUACAGAAAGUUAUUCAAAACUUGCGAAAGACCAUACCGAUGCAACUUCACAGUGAGAUUUUUGAUGGAAACUGAAUCAAAGGCCAUUUGGAUGUCUAGGUAAAUGGAAGCCAUUUGUUCUUUACGAGCAAAUGCCAUUUGAAUUCCUGUUGAGAACAAUGCAAGAUAAUCGUUCAUACCUUCGCCCCUGCGGAAGCCAAAUUGUGUAUCUGAAAGUAAGCCAUUAGUCUGUACCCAAUUGUCUAGACAAAAGAGAUUCAUUUUUUCGAACAAUUUUCGGAUACAGUAAAGCAGAGCAAUCGACCGGUACGAAUUGUGAGCGGAGACUGGUUUCCCUGGUUUUCAAAUAGCUAACCCUCAGUUGUCUUCUGUCAGGUGGGACAAUAUUACACUCUAGGAACUUGUUGAAUUAAUUCAAGUCAGGCUGAUUUUUCAACAAGUUGAAUUGGAUUCCGCCUAAUCCUGGGGUUUCGUUGUAACAUGACAAGAGCGCAAAUGAGUUUUCCACCAUCGAAAACGGAGUUUCUUUCGCAUUCGUUUUCGUGACGCAGAGGGUCUUCUGUUUCGAAACAGAGUUGGGGCCUUUUAGAAUUUUAGCGAAAUCGAAUAUCCGGCGGUUUGCAUAUUCUUCGUUCCAAUUUAUGUUGUUUGUUUUUGUUGCGCAUUAGUCAGGUUGUGUUCCAAAGAGUGCUCAUUGAUUUAUCUUUUGAUAAUACGUCUAGAAACUGACGCCAGUACCCGCGUUUCUUAGCUGUUAUUAGGUUAAGCACUUGAAUAUCUACCGCCGCAUAUUUUUCCUAAUUAUCAGGUUUCAUUUUAAACACUGAAGCUCUCUACACGUUUAAACCUGAGUACUCUUUGUCCCACCACAGGUUGGGAGGACAGAUGUUAGUUUUCGCGCCGGAUACAUGUUUCGUCUGAGCUUGAGCCGCGGUAUCGAAAAUCAAGCCAGCCACUCUAUUUCUCUUACUCGGCCUCCAGAGAAAGUUGUUGAGUUCUUUCAAGUUUCUCAGAUAUCGCGGUCCCAUAGCUAUUCCAAUCAAUAUUUCGUGUAAGGUCAUACAAAACAUUGAUUGCCCCCGACGGUUUUAAUCUGCUUGUGAUUGAAAUUACUAUAGGUAAUUUUACAAGCUCCAAAUGUAAUUUGCACUCGGCUACCAAGUGCCACGGUUUGGAUUUAUAUGAAUCAAUUAUUCAACGAACAGUUAUUAGCUCCGUGGUUCAGUCGAGUAACCGAUGUGCUUGUGAUCUGAUGUUUCUCGGUUCAAGUCGCGAUGCUGCUAACGAACUUUUGUUUUUUAUUUCGUUGAAUUCAAGCCAUGUAAUUUUCAAAUCACAUAAUUUUACAUGUUCUUGAAUAAAAAUUUGUGCGAAAUAUGACGCUCCGAUUAUGUGCAUCUUAUAAGAUGUAAAAUUUCAAGAUUUUUUCGAACUGUAAACGGUAACUAGAUUGUUGAGUGAAGGGAUAAAUCCAGCGCAAUUUCGGAAGCUAACCAAGUUUCGCAAUGGAUCUUUUUUGUGAUUAUACUUCUACAACUCCACUGUAAUACAGUGAUCAAAUCCUUUACCUCGAUGAAUUAACCAUCGAAGAAUACGAUCGCUGAAAGAAGGGGCCAAUUUAGAUUAGUUUUAUUUUUCCUCGAGUAUAUCGAAUACAUAAAUUAUUCAGAACCCCACUAGAAAUGUUCCCGAAGAUUCUUUCGAAUCUGUUUUAUGGUCGUUAUAACAAAGAAUUUUAGAAAACAAAUAAGAAUUUCGUUAAAUUCCUACACAUCCUCAACUUUUUUUGAAUUCAUGUAUUUUUUUUAGGCAAGAGUGAUUGACGACAAAUUGUGUGUUUGGAAUGAUUCCCAUACUCAUACACACACAAAGAAUUAAAAUUGUGUUUCUAAAAGAAACGGAAAAUGGUGUUUCUGCUGGUUUAAGACGAAUAUUUUUAAGUUAAAAGUGUUUUUAUUUCAGUGAAGGCUAAUUGUAAAGUUUGAACUUUGGAAAUAAGAACCGUAAAAUAACCAAAAAGUACUGAUAGAAUGUGGUAGAAUCUUACAGUAUUACUUUAUCGGGAACUAGUAAAAUAUCAUCCAUCUAUGACAAGACCGUUGUGCAAAAGAUCAAUUUUUUUUCUUUCCUAAAAAUACGUUGUGAUAACCAAAAAUUAUUCGCGAAAAACAUUAUUAAGCAGUCCGAAAUGGAAUUCAUAUCGAUUUCUCAAAAAUGAAUAAACCGAUUUUCACCCACAUUCUAAUAAAACGUCAUUCCAUUUUUUUUCGACUAAUGUUCAAUUUUUGAGUUUGACCGGACAUGACGUUAUUACGAAAAAUUAAAAAAAAAACUUCUUCAAAUUACAUCAAAUGUUUUUUUGCGAUAAUCGGUUUCGGAUGUUUCAACGCUCAUGAGAUAGACACCAAUACGACUGUGUCCUGUAACCAAUUGGGUCACCGAAUCACCAAGAGCUGGAAUUAAAAUGGGUUAUUUUUUGCUUUAGCGAUAAUUAUUUAUCAUCUGAUCGUUCACAAGAAU